AUUGAACGCUGGCGGCAUGCUUUACACGUGCAAGUCGAACGGUAACAGGUUAAGCUGACGAGUGGCGAACGGGUGAGUAAUGCAUCGGAACGUGCCCGAUCGUGGGGGAUAACGCAGCGAAAGCUGCGCUAAUACCGCAUACGAUCUGAGGAUGAAAACGGGGGACCGUAAGGCCUCGCGCGAUCGGAGCGGCCGAUGUCGGAUUAGGGAGUUAGGGGGGUAAAGGCUCACCAAGCCAGCGAUCUGUAGCUGGUCUGAGAGGACGACCAGCCACACUGGGACUGAGACACGGCCCAGACUCAUACGGGAGGCAGCAGUGGGGAAUUUUGGACAAUGGGCGAAAGCCUGAUCCAGCAAUGCCGCGUGCAGGAAGAAGGCCUUCGGGUUGUAAACUGCUUUUGUACGGAGCGAAAAGGCCCUCUCUAAUACAGGGGGCUCAUGACGGUACCGUAAGAAUAAGCACCGGCUAACUACGUGCCAGCAGCCGCUGUAACAC
rnacentral:rRNA from 1 species